rnacentral:rRNA from 1 species
AUGUGGUCAAGCUACAAAGGCUGAUGGUGGAUACCUUGGCACACAGAGGCGAAGAAGGACGUGGCGACCGACGAAACGUUCCGGGGAGCUGGAAGCAAGCAUUAGAUCCGGAAAUAUCCGAAUGGGGCAACCCCUUGUACUGCCUGUCCAAUCCAUAAGCAGGUCAGAGCCAACCCAGCGAAUUGAAACAUCUUAGUAGCUGGAGGAAAAGAAAUCAAUCCGAGAUUCCCCUAGUAGCGGCGAGCGAAGCGGGAAAAGCCUAAACCUACCAGUAUAUCUAGUAGGGGUAGUGGGACAGCGAGGUGGGACUGUCAAAAUUAGACGAAGCAGCCGAACACUGCACCAGAGAAGGUGAAAGUCCUGUAGUCAAAAAUGGCAACAGCCCUAGCUGAAUCCCGAGUAGCACGGGGCACGUGAAAUCCCGUGUGAAUCCGCCGAGACCACUCGGUAAGGCUAAAUACUCCUGUGUGACCGAUAGCGAACCAGUACCGCGAGGGAAAGGUGAAAAGAACCCCGGAAGGGGAGUGAAACAGAACAUGAAACCAUCAGCCAUCAAGCAGUGGGAGGACGAUUAAACGUCUGACCGCGUGCCUGUUGAAGAAUGAGCCGGCGACUUAUCAGCACUGGUAGGUAAAGGCAGUCACUGCCACAGCCAUAGCGAAAGCGAGUCCGAACAGGGCGAAUCAUUAAAAAUGAAUCAGUGUUGAUAGACCCGAACCCGGGUGAUCUAACCAUGUCCAGGAUGAAGCUUGGGUAACACCAAGUGGAGGUCCGCACCGACCGAUGUUGAAAAAUCGGCGGAUGAGAUGUGGUUAGGGGUGAAAUGCCAAUCGAACCCGGAGCUAGCUGGUUCUCCCCGAAAUGUGUUGAGGCGCAGCGGUUGUGAAUAUAGUCUGGGGGUAAAGCACUGUUUCGGUGCGGGCGGCGAAAGCUGUACCAAAUCGAGACAAACUCUGAAUACCAGAUGUACACACAACCAGUGAGACGGUGGGGGAUAAGCUUCAUCGUCAAGAGGGAAACAGCCCAGACCACCAGCUAAGGCCCCCAAAUUGUCGCUCAGUGACAAAGGAGGUGGGAGUGCAUUGACAACCAGGAGGUUUGCCUAGAAGCAGCCACCCUUGAAAGAGUGCGUAAUAGCUCACUGGUCAAGCGCUCCUGCGCCGAAAAUGAAUGGGGCUAAGCGACAUGCCGAAGCUGUGGGAUAAGUGAUUAUCGGUAGGGGAGCGUUCCGUGGUAGUAAGAAGCACUAGCGGCAAGCAGGUGUGGACGAAACGGAAGUGAGAAUGUCGGCUUGAGUAGCGCAAACAUUGGUGAGAAUCCAAUGCCCCGAAACCCCAAGGGUUCCUCCGGAAGGCUCGUCCACGGAGGGUAAGUCAGGACCUAAGGCGAGGCAGAAAUGCGUAGUCGAUGGACAACGGGUUAACAUUCCCGUACUAAUGGUGGUUGGUGUAGAGGGACGGAGAAGGUUGACAUCAGCCGGAUGUUGGUUACCGGUUCAAGCUGGCGAGGUGAUGAGAGGCGGUGAAAACGCUUCGAGCCGAGCGGCGAGUACGAGAGUCUACGGACUCGAAGUGGUGAAGGUCAAGCUCCCAAGAAAAGCUCUUCGCACGUUAAACCACUGAUUACCUGUACCCGAAACCGACACAGGUGGGGAGGUUGAGCAAACCAAGGGGCGCGAGAUAACUCUCUCUAAGGAACUCGGCAAAAUGGCCCCGUAACUUCGGGAGAAGGGGUGCCCCCAGCAAUGGGGGUCGCAGUGAAGAGGCCCAAGCGACUGUUUACCAAAAACACAGGUCUCCGCCAAGAAGCAAUUCGAUGUAUGGGGGCUGACGCCUGCCCAGUGCCGGAAGGUUAAGGAAGUUGGUCAGGGAGCAAUCCUAAAGCUGACGACCGAAGCCCCGGUGAACGGCGGCCGUAACUAUAACGGUCCUAAGGUAGCGAAAUUCCUUGUCGGGUAAGUUCCGACCCGCACGAAAGGCGUAACGAUUUGGGCGCUGUCUCGGAGAGAGGCUCGGCGAAAUAGGAUUGUCUGUGAAGAUACGGACUACCUGCACCUGGACAGAAAGACCCUAUGAAGCUUUACUGUAGCCUGGAAUUGGGUCCGGGCUUCGCCUGCGCAGGAUAGGUGGGAGGCACUGAAGUUCCCCUUGUGGGGGGAAUGGAGCCAACGGUGAGAUACCACUCUGGCGAGGCUAGGAUUCUAACCCGCACCCAUUAUCUGGGGCGGGAACCGUUUCAGGUGGGCAGUUUGACUGGGGCGGUCGCCUCCUAAAAGGUAACGGAGGCGCGCAAAGGUUCCCUCAGCCUGGUUGGAAAUCAGGCGGCGAGUGCAAAGGCAGAAGGGAGCUUGACUGCGAGAGUUACCACUCGAGCAGGGACGAAAGUCGGCCUUAGUGAUCCGACGGUGCCGCGUGGAAGGGCCGUCGCUCAACGGAUAAAAGUUACUCUAGGGAUAACAGGCUGAUCUCCCCCAAGAGUCCACAUCGACGGGGAGGUUUGGCACCUCGAUGUCGGCUCAUCGCAACCUGGGGCGGAAGUACGUCCCAAGGGUUGGGCUGUUCGCCCAUUAAAGCGGUACGUGAGCUGGGUUCAGAACGUCGUGAGACAGUUCGGUCCAUAUCCGGUGCAGGCGUAAGAGUAUUGCGAGGAGCCUUCCUUAGUACGAGAGGACCGGGAAGGACGCACCGCUGGUGUACUGGUUAUCGUGCCAACGGUACACGCCAGGUAGCCAUGUGCGGAGCGGAUAACCGCUGAAAGCAUCUAAGUGGGAAGCCCACCUCCAGAUGAGUACUCUCAUGGAAUUAAUCCAGUAAGGUCACGGGUAGAUUACCCGGCAAUAGGCGUCAGGUGGAAGCUCAGUAAUGGGUGCAGCCGAGGCGUACUAAUCGACCGAGGGCUUGACCUCU